GCUCUGUUUAGAAAGAUCUUAGCAGAAACACUUCCCACAAGUUAUCAGAAUGAUUGUGUCGACACUUUUUCUCAGUUUGUUACUGACUUUCUUAUCAUGUGUCCAAUCGGAGGUUGUUUUGACCCAGCCAGAGGCAGAGACUGGCCGUCCCGCAGGCAGCCUGAAACUGACCUGUAAAACCAGCGGGUUCGAUCUUGGCAGCUACGACAUGUACUGGGUCCGACAGGUUCCCGGACAGGGUCUGGAGUGGCUGCUGUACUACUAUAGUUCAUCCAGCAGUAACUAUGCACCAGCGAUUAAGGGUCGAUUUACUGCGUCCAAAGACACUUCAAACAACAUUUUCGCGUUGGACAUGGAGAACCUGAAGAUCGAAGACACCGCCAUCUAUUACUGUGCAGGAGACGCUGGAGUGGACUAUCUUGAUUACUGGGGCCAAGGGACCAUGGUGACAGUGACUUCAGGUCAGACCCUUGAACUUUCUUAGUGACUUUUUAAAAAC